rnacentral:rRNA from 1 species
CUACGGGCUGCACCAGUGAGGAAUAUUGCACAAUGGGGGGAACCCUGAUGCAGCAACGCCGCGUGGAGGAUGACGCAUUUCGGUGUGUAAACUCCUUUUAUAUGCCAAGAAAAUGACGGUAGCAUAUGAAUAAGCACCGGCUAACUCCGUGCCAGCAGCCGCGGUAAUACGGAGGGUGCAAGCGUUACUCGGAAUCACUGGGCGUAAAGGACGCGUAGGCGGGUUGGAAAGUCAGGUGUGAAAUCCUACAGCUUAACUGUAGAACUGCACUUGAAACUUCUAAUCUAGAGUAUGGGAGGGGGAGAUGGAAUUAGUGGUGUAGGGGUAAAAUCCGUAGAUAUCACUAGGAAUACCUAAAGCGAAGGCGAUCUCCUGGAACAUUACUGACGUUAAGGCGUGAAAGCGUGGGGAGCAAACAGGAUUAGAUACCCCAGUAGUC